GAUGAACGCUGGCGGCGUGCCUAAUACAUGCAAGUCGAGCGAACGGACGAGAAGCUUGCUUUUCUGAUGUUAGCGGCGGACGGGUGAGUAACACGUGGAUAACCUACCUAUAAGACUGGGAUAACUUCGGGAAACCGGAGCUAAUACCGGAUAAUAUUUUGAACCGCAUGGUUCAAAAGUGAAAGACGGUCUUGCUGUCACUUAUAGAUGGAUCCGCGCUGCAUUAGCUAGUUGGUAAGGUAACGGCUUACCAAGGCAACGAUGCAUAGCCGACCUGAGAUGGUGAUCGGCCACACUGGAACUGAGACACGGUCCAGACUCCUACGGGAGGCAGCAGUAGGGAAUCUUCCGCAAUGGGCGAAAGCCUGACGGAGCAACGCCGCGUGAGUGAUGAAGGUCUUCGGAUCGUAAAACUCUGUUAUUAGGGAAGAACAUAUGUGUAAGUAACUGUGCACAUCUUGACGGUACCUAAUCAGAAAGCCACGGCUAACUACGUG
rnacentral:rRNA from 1 species